rnacentral:rRNA from 1 species
UACGUAGGUGCAAGCGUUGUCCGGAUUUACUGGGCGUAAAGAGCACGCAGGCGGUCGUUCAAGUCGCGUGUGAAAGCCCCCGGCUCAACUGGGGAGGGUCACGCGAUACUGAUCGACUCGAAGGCAGGAGAGGGUAGUGGAAUUCCCAAUGUAGCGGUGAAAUGCGUAGAUAUUGGGAGGAACACCAGUGGCGAAGGCGGCUACCUGGACCGGAACUGACGCUGAUGCGCGAAAGCGUGGGUAGCAAACAGG